rnacentral:piRNA from 1 species
UUGAGGCUCUACAAAUCGGCGUGUUCU